rnacentral:tRNA from 1 species
GCGCCUUUAGCUUAACUGGAUAGAGCAGUUGCCUCCUAAGUGACCGACGUGGGUUCGAGUCCUUCAAAGCGCACCA